rnacentral:rRNA from 1 species
UACGUAGGGGCCUAGCGUUGUCCGGAUUUAUUGGGCGUAAAGAGCUCGUAGGCGGUUCGGCAAGUCGGAUGUGAAAUCUCCACGCUCAACGUGGAGGGGCCAUUCGAAACUGCUGUGACUUGAGUCCGGUAGGGGGGUGUGGAAUUCCCGGUGUAGCGGUGAAAUGCGUAGAUAUCUGGAGGAACACCGGUGGCGAAGGCGGCAUCCUGGACCAACACUGACGCUGAGGAGCGAAAGCCAGGGGAGCAAACGGG